rnacentral:rRNA from 1 species
GACGAACGCUGGCGGCGUGCUUAACACAUGCAAGUCGAACGCUGAAGCUUGGUGCUUGCACUGGGUGGAUGAGUGGCGAACGGGUGAGUAAUACGUGAGUAACCUGCCCUUGACUCUGGGAUAAGCCUGGGAAACUGGGUCUAAUACUGGAUACGACAUGUCACCGCAUGGUGGUGUGUGGAAAGGGUUUUACUGGUUUUGGAUGGGCUCACGGCCUAUCAGCUUGUUGGUGGGGUAAUGGCUCACCAAGGCGACGACGGGUAGCCGGCCUGAGAGGGUGACCGGCCACACUGGGACUGAGACACGGCCCAGACUCCUACGGGAGGCAGCAGUGGGGAAUAUUGCACAAUGGGCGGAAGCCUGAUGCAGCGACGCCGCGUGAGGGAUGACGGCCUUCGGGUUGUAAACCUCUUUCAGCACGGAAGAAGCGAAAGUGACGGUACGUGCAGAAGAAGCGCCGGCUAGCUACGUG